rnacentral:rRNA from 1 species
CAGCAGCCGCGGUAAUACAGAGGAUGCAAGCGUUAUCCGGAAUGAUUGGGCGUAAAGCGACUGUAGGUGGCCUUUCAAGUCCGCCGUCAAAUCCCAGGGCUCAACCCUGGACAGGCGGUGGAAACUACCAAGCUGGAGUACGGUAGGGGCAGAGGGAAUUUCCAGUGGAGCGGUGAAAUGCGUUGAGAUCGAAAAGAACACCAACAGCGAAAGCACUCUGCUGGGACGACACUGACACUAAGAGACGAAAGCUAGGGGAGCAAAUGGGAUUAGAUACCCCGGUAGUCCCUGUCUCUUAUAC